ACGCAUCCCUGACGGCGAGGGUGCGCCCUGCUCCGGACCGAAAGGCCGUGCAGCGGGUGCGCCUGGACCGCUCAACUUUGCAAACCCCACUGUGCACUCUUGUCGGUGAGGGGCUCAACGGCCCCGAGCCGGAUCACAAACACCAAAUUCCAAAAGAAUGAAAGCGGACUUUGUGCCGCCUAAACUUAAA
rnacentral:misc_RNA from 1 species